rnacentral:rRNA from 1 species
AACGAACGCUGGCGGCAUGCCUAACACAUGCAAGUCGAACGGUGCCUUCGGGCACAGUGGCGCACGGGUGAGUAACACGUGGGAACCUGCCUUUCGGUUCGGAACAACGUCUGGAAACGGACGCUAACGCCGGAUACGCCCAUCCAGCGAUGGUUGGGGAAAGUUUACGCCGAGAGAGGGGCCCGCGCCGGAUUAGGUAGUUGGUGGGGUAACGGCCUACCAAGCCGACGAUCCGUAGCUGGUCUGAGAGGAUGAUCAGCCACACUGGGACUGAGACACGGCCCAGACUCCUACGGGAGGCAGCAGUCGGGGAAUAUUGGACAAUGGGCGCAAGCCUGAUCCAGCAAUGCCGCGUGAGUGAUGAAGGCCUUAGGGUUGUAAAGCUCUUUCGCACGCGACGAUGAUGACGGUAGCGUGAGAAGAAGCCCCGGCUAACUUCGUG